rnacentral:rRNA from 1 species
UACGGGGGGGGCAAGCGUUGUUCGGAAUUACUGGGCGUAAAGGGCUCGUAGGUGGCCAACUAAGUCAGACGUGAAAUCCCUCGGCUUAACCGGGGAACUGCGUCUGAUACUGGAUGGCUUGAGUUUGGGAGAGGGACGCGGAAUUCCAGGUGUAGCGGUGAAAUGCGCAGAUAUCAGGAGGAACACCGGUGGCGAAGGCGGUGGUCUGGGCCGGCACUGACGCUGAGGAGCGAAAGCGUGGGUAGCAAACAGG